ACUCCAGUUACCGAGAUCUGUAGUGAAUUUCAUAGUUGCAACAGUUAAAUUAUCUAAAUAAUUAUACAUUGAUUUAUCUAAAUCCAAUCCUAUAACCUGUGAUUUAACAACAAUUGGAGCCCAAUUUGCAGUAGCAUGAAAACCAGUCCCUAUAUGCAUGCUGGCUGUGUUUAACUUAUUCUUGAGGGUCUCCAUAUCUAUAACUAUUUAGUAUACCCAUAGUGGUUCCAACACCUCCUAACAGUGUGUCAUACCAUUCCCUUUUCUGCCUUUGUUUGUUGUAUUACAUAAUGUUACAACAAGAGUAGUGACUUUUAAUGACACAUGUACAGCUUGUAAGAAGGCAGUUGUAUUAAUACAUGUGGACGAAAUAGGUGUGUGUGUGUGUGUCGUGUUUGACUUUUGGUUCUAUGGUAGUGGAUAAAGGACAGUAAUAAGGUGUAAAAAUAUAAGGUAGUGUAUAGUUCUCAAUUGUAGUGUCGUUCAUAAUGACUAACAUUUGUCCCCUUCUCCAAUUAAUGAUACCAAUUAUAUAAUCAUUAUUAAAAGUAAUAAGGCCUGUCUAUUUACAUUGAUAUGCAACCUUAACUGUGCACAUUUCUGCGUUAUAAGAUCUAACAAUUUUCUGUGAACCUUCAAACAAACAUAAUGCAUCGGCUUCAUUAGCUGUAGACACAUUUCAUAUGGGUAACUGGUACUUAUAAGGGUUACUAUUUGUCCAAUUCAUCCAAAUGCGUUCAGUAAAUGAAUGAUUGCAUAUUACAUGCUGAUAGAAAGGUGGUGGAGAAAGGUUCUUGAGGGGGCGUGUGUGACGAAUGCUAGAUGAGGGGCUAAGGCCUAAUUGGGCUGGGGUAUUGAAGAAUUGUUCAUCAUGUCAGAGUCUUUUUCCAGAACUUGCCAUUGACUUGUACUCAUAAUGGCAUUCAAGGAACAAUAUCAGAGGGAGUAUAACAACUCCAGAAAGCAUAGCGCACAACAUAAUCUUGG